GACGAACGCUGGCGGCGUGCCUAAUACAUGCAAGUAGAACGCUGAAGGAGGAGCUUGCUUCUCUGGAUGAGUUGCGAACGGGUGAGUAACGCGUAGGUAACCUGCCUGGUAGCGGGGGAUAACUAUUGGAAACGAUAGCUAAUACCGCAUAAGAGUAGAUGUUGCAUGACAUUUGCUUAAAAGGUGCAAUUGCAUCACUACCAGAUGGACCUGCGUUGUAUUAGCUAGUUGGUGGGGUAACGGCUCACCAAGGCGACGAUACAUAGCCGACCUGAGAGGGUGAUCGGCCACACUGGGACUGAGACACGGCCCAGACUCCUACGGGAGGCAGCAGUAGGGAAUCUUCGGCAAUGGACGGAAGUCUGACCGAGCAACGCCGCGUGAGUGAAGAAGGUUUUCGGAUCGUAAAGCUCUGUUGUAAGAGAAGAACGAGUGUGAGAGUGGAAAGUUCACACUGUGACGGUAUCUGACCAGAAAGGGGCGGCUAACUACGUG
rnacentral:rRNA from 1 species